AUGAUCUUAAAAAGGUGUAUCAUUUGUGAUAUAUGUACUAUUUUUAAAUUGUCACAAAGUAUAUGCAUACACUAUUCAUUCAUCCAUCUAGAUCUAAUGUAUCUUUUCAUGUCCCUGCAAAAGAGCUUAUCAGUAUGUGUGUUCUGGUUAUAUAUCAACAAAAAUAGCAGAGAAAUCGAUGGCAAAAAUAAGGAACAAUAUUCUUCUUAUUUCCAAGAAAGGCAUUUAGUUGAUUCAUGUCAGUUCUUGGAAAUAAAGCAUCAUACAAUGAUAGGUAACAGUAAGAUACUUGACAUAUCUGAAGCUGAAAGUGUUCUCUUAUAUUUCGUAAACUUUUUCAUUGUAUUAUAUUCUAUAAGAGCAUCAAAGUCGUGUUCUAUUUUGUUGGAUACAUCAAUGAUUUUUUGA
rnacentral:rRNA from 1 species